UACGUAGGGUGCGAGCGUUAAUCGGAAUUACUGGGCGUAAAGCGUGCGCAGGCGGCGCGUUAAGACAGGUGUGAAAGCCCCGAGCUUAACUUGGGAAUUGCGCUUGUGACUGGCGUGCUGGAGUGUGGCAGAGGGAGGUGGAAUUCCAGGUGUAGCGGUGAAAUGCGUAGAUAUCUGGAGGAACACCGGUGGCGAAGGCGGCAUCCUGGACCGGUAUUGACGCUGAGGCGCGAAAGCUAGGGGAGCAAACGGG
rnacentral:rRNA from 1 species